rnacentral:lncRNA from 10 species
CUGGCAGGUUAUGGAUGAAUAGAUGGAAAGUAGCCCAUGUUCCUUAUUCAGGAUAGUGAAAUGGUGAUGUACAACAACCCAGUGUUUUCCAAAGGUGUGAGAAAGUCUCCCCCAGGUGUGGUAAGGACUCCCUGCCUCCUCACUGGCACUGUGGUGGCAGUCUCUGUGCAAGUUUUGAGCAGGCAUGGGAAGGGGUACAGGUCACAGGUUGGAGCUGCACUUCAUCACCACACUGGUCCUUCCAGGGGCAGUGGGGUGUGACUGGCGGUGCAGGAGCAAGGAGGCUGCCCUUCCUCACAGCAGCUCCACUGCACCAGACUUGGAGAACAGGCAAGUUGGAUGCUAUCCACACUCUCCGAGCCCUGUUCCCCCGCCUGGCCUGAGACCAGCCAUAACCUGUCUCUGGAAAUAAGCUUGGAAGACCUGUCCCAAGGCCUUAAGUGCCGGGAAGGAAGCAGGUAAGGGAGGCUCCUUUCCUGACGGUCUCUGUUACUCAAAGGCAAGGUGUUGGGAAGAAAGCUGAGGCAGUGCUUGCAUGUGCGACAUAAUGUCCUCUAGAAUGUGUCUAGACUUCCUGGCUCCUUACUUCUAGCCCUCCUAGGCUCCUAGAUCAAUUGUAUUUCCAUUAUCUCAAGUAGCAGAACAUGUUCCUUGUAAAUGCUAAACCAUAACAGCUAUAGAUCAUGUGUCUGCCCUUUUGACCUCCACAUUCUCACCACCUGUUUCUUUGUUGGAUUACCAAUAAAUAGCAUGGGUUCCCAAAGCUCGGAGCCUUUGCGGCCUCCACGAUCGCGAUGGCCCCCUAGUCCCACUUUACUUCUCAAACUGUCUUUUUCUCAAUCCUUUGACUCUGCUGGACUUCGUGGCCCCCACAACCUGGUGUUGGGUCUGAUCACCCCAACACAAGGGGCCUGGUUCACUGGCUCAGAGGCUAAAUCCAGUUGAUUCUCCACCAAGAAAAUGGGCAGGUAAAUGCUGAUUCUACAGUUACUGCGAUUCAGGCAAUGGAUCUAACUUUUCUUAUUGUGAGGCCAGUACCCCAAGUGGGCCAGUAGAAAUUUUCUCUGCUGUCCCCUCCUGAAGUCCUGCCUUGGGAGACCUUAAGCAUCCCCCAUGUUCUGUGAGCCUGGAUCAUGCCACAGGUGCCCUACCCCAAGCCCACAGUGGACUGUCAAGCAGGUGGCAGAGCAGAAACGGAUUAAGAGCACAGGCUCCCAAACACCCCCAUUUACCAGCUGUGUGGUCGUAAGCAGCUUGCUUUUUCCAUCUGUAAACUGGGGAUAGAAGUGCCUGCGUCGUAGGGAGGUAGUGAGGGUAAAGUGGGUGAGCAUAUAAAGCUCUUAGAGCACUGUGGCAUCCAGGAAGCACCAUGGCUUAUAUGAUUGUUGUUGCUCCUGGGGCUGCAGCCCAGUCUUCCCCAAAGAGGAAAUGGUCAUGGCUCGUUGGGCCUUUCCCACAGCUGAGCCCAGGCUUCCGCUGUCUCAAGUGGUUUUUUUUUUUUUUUUUUUUUUCCCGCCUGAGUCUCGCUUUAUCUCCCAGAUCUCGGCCCGAUCUCGGCUCACUGCAACCUCUGCCUCCUGGGCUCAAGCCAUUCCCGUGCCACAGCCUCCCAAGUAACCAGGACUACAGGCCCACAUCACCAGGCCCAGCUAAUUUUUGCAUGGUGAUGUGUGAUAGCAAUCCCAGCUACUCA